rnacentral:tRNA from 1 species
GGGUCGGUACCGAAGUGGUCAAACGGGGCGGACUGUAAAUCCGCUGGCUCUGCCUUCGAAGGUUCAAGUCCUUCCCGGCCCACCA